rnacentral:misc_RNA from 1 species
GCAGAAACUCUCCUCAACUAUUAAAAAAAGCAAAAUAGUCAUGCACAUAAUGUGAUAUACAAAGUUAACUUCCUCGAGAAACAACAUGAUAUAGCUGUGUGUUAACAGUGUGAUAAUGGAACAAGAAGAAUAAUAAUACUUACAAACUGUGUUUAUCAAAUUUGACAAAUUGGAAACAAUGACCAAAAACAACUUAUUAAUCUACCCAACACCCUCUCACCCUACCUACUACCAUCCCUCAAUGAUCACAAUUAGAAAAUCACAUUUCUUUGUUUUGCAUAAACAUUCCCCAAGUUCAUAGAUGUUUUAUUUCUAUUAUACUAUUAACUUGCAUUGGACAAAAGUCAUUUCCCU